CUACGGACCAAAGUGGGGGACCUUCGGGCCUCAUGCCAUCAGAUGUGCCCAGAUGGGAUUAGCUAGUAGGUGGGGUAACGGCUCACCUAGGCGACGAUCCCUAGCUGGUUUGAGAGGAUGACCAGCCACACUGGAACUGAGACACGGUCCAGACUCCUACGGGAGGCAGCAGUGGGGAAUAUUGCACAAUGGGCGCAAGCCUGAUGCAGCCAUGCCGCGUGUAUGAAGAAGGCCUUCGGGUUGUAAAGUACUUUCAGCGGGGAGGAAGGCGUUGUGGUUAAUAACCACAGCAAUUGACGUUACCCGCAGAAGAAGCACCGGCUAACUCCGUGCCAGCAGCCGCGGUAAUACGGAGGGUGCAAGCGUUAAUCGGAAUUACUGGGCGUAAAGCGCACGCAGGCGGUCUGUUAAGUCAGAUGUGAAAUCCCCGGGCUCAACCUGGGAACUGCAUUUGAAACUGGCAGGCUUGAGUCUCGUAGAGGGGGGUAGAAUUCCAGGUGUAGCGGUGAAAUGCGUAGAGAUCUGGAGGAAUACCGGUGGCGAAGGCGGCCCCCUGGACGAAGACUGACGCUCAGGUGCGAAAGCGUGGAGAANC
rnacentral:rRNA from 1 species